GAAAAUGUAACUUGUAUUGAAUAGAAGCAGAAAAGAAUUUAUAUACACUUGAAGAGAAAAGCAAAAAAUAACAAAAAUUAGUUACAAGUCAAAAACAGCUAGCUAACAACUUCCUAUCUCAAAAUAAAUAAGUUGACAUUAGCUGACUAAUUGAUUCUCUGGUAAGACUCCCCCGCAAGCAUUCCCAGCUGGAGAACUAUGGAUUGGAAAGAAGAAACUGGAAGAGCUUUAGUAUAGAUGUCUGCAAGUUGAGCAAAAGAAGCUACUGGCAGUAAAUGAAUAAGGCCAAAGAGAACCUUUUCCCUUACAACAUGAUAAUCAAGCUCUAUGUGCUUGGUUUUCUCAUGAAAUGUAGGAUUAGCUGCAAUAUGUAGGGUUGACUAGUUAUCACAGUAUCUGACAGCAGGCAACUAAUGAGCAAUGGAAAGAUCAGUCAACAAGUAAAUAAGCCAUUGAAUCUCACAAGUUGUUGCUACAAGUGCUCUAUAUUCUAUCUCUGAAGAUGACUUAGAAAUAAUGCUUUGCUUUUUAGACUUCUAGCUAAUGAGAGAAUGACUAAGAUAAACACUGAAGCUUAUAACAGAUCUUUUUGUAUCCAUACAACUAGCCCAAUCCGAGUCACUAAAAGCCUUUAAGUGUAAGGAGGAAGUGGAUGGGAAAAAUAAUCCUUUGCCAGGACAACUGUUAAUGUACCUCAACACUCUUUGUAAAGCUUAAAGAUGAACUGAGGUAGGCUUGGAUAAGAACUGACUGAGUUGUUGAAUGGUAAAGCUAAUAUCCAGCCUGGUUACGGUAAGAUAAAGCAAUCUUCCUACCAGCCUUCUAUAAGAAGCAUCAUUUUGCAAAGGAUCCCCUGUGUCACUAUUGAGCUUGGUAUGAGAAUCCAUUGGAGUCUUGGCAGGUUUUGCAGCUAGAUAACUUGUGUUAGAAAGAAUCUCAAAAGCAUAUUUUCUUUGGCAAAUAGAAAUUCCUUUUUGAGACCUUGCAAUUUCAAGCCCUAAGAAAAAUUUCAAGUCACCAAGGUCCUUGAUUUUAAAAAAAUCAUUGAGAAACUUUUUA
rnacentral:misc_RNA from 1 species